GACAGAGGAGCCAAGCGUUGUCCGGAUUGACUGGGCGUAAAGCGCACGCAGGCGGAACGGCGCGUGGGGUGUGAAAGCUGGUGGCUUAACUGCCAGUCGCCAUCCCAUACGGCCGCUCUGGAGCCUUGCAGAGGGCAGUGGAAUUGCCGGUGUAGUGGUGAAAUGCGUAGAGAUCGGCAGGAACACCCAGGGGGAAACCAGCUGCCUGGGCAAGCGCUGACGCUGAGGCGCGAAAGCGUGGGGAGCGAACAGG
rnacentral:rRNA from 1 species